rnacentral:tRNA from 1 species
GCAUUGGUGGCUCAGUGGUAGAGCUCUUGCCUGCCACGCUGGAGGCCCGGGUUCGUCUCCCGGCCAGUGCG